UACAGAGGGUGCGAGCGUUGUUCGGAUUGACUGGGCGUAAAGGGCGCGUAGGCGGUUCGUACAGUCAGACGUGAAAUUCCUGGGCUCAACCUGGGGGCUGCGUUUGAUACGUGCGGACUUGAGUGCGGAAGAGGGUCGUGGAAUUCCCAGUGUAGAGGUGAAAUUCGUAGAUAUUGGGAAGAACACCGGUGGCGAAGGCGGCUCUCUGGACCGAUACUGACGCUCAGGCACGACAGCGUGGGGAUCAAACAGG
rnacentral:rRNA from 1 species